rnacentral:snRNA from 1 species
AUAAUUAUAUACUAUGUAUACUAAAAUUGGAAUAGUAGAGAAAAUUAGCAUGGCCCCUGUGCAAGGAUGAUGUGGAAAUUCACGAAGCAUUCCCUAGUUUU